GACGAACGCUGGCGGCGUGCUUAACACAUGCAAGUCGAACGGAAAGGCCCUGCUUUUGUGGGGUGCUCGAGUGGCGAACGGGUGAGUAACACGUGAAUAACCUGCCCUUGACUUUGGGAUAACUUCAGGAAACUGGGGCUAAUACCGGAUAGGAGCUCCUGCUGCAUGGUGGGGGUUGGAAAGUUUCGGCGGUUGGGGAUGGACUCGCGGCUUAUCAGCUUGUUGGUGGGGUGGUGGCUUACCAAGGCUUUGACGGGUAGCCGGCCUGGGAGGGUGACCGGCCACAUUGGGACUGAGAUACGGCCCAGACUCCUACGGGAGGCAGCAGUGGGGAAUAUUGCACAAUGGGCGGAAGCCUGAUGCAGCAACGCCGCGUGCGGGAUGACGGCCUUCGGGUUGUAAACCGCUUUCGCCUGUGACGAAGCGUGAGUGACGGUAAUGGGUAAAGAAGCACCGGCUAACUACGUG
rnacentral:rRNA from 1 species